AGAUUUGGGGCUCCGCGAUACAGCUAGGAUGGCUGUAGUACCUCUGCUGUUGUUGGGGGGUUUGUGGAGCUCUGUGGGAGCGUCCAGCCUGGCUGUCGUUACUUGCGGCUCCGUGGUGAAGCUACUCAAUACGCGCCACAACGUCCGACUGCACUCACACGACGUGCGCUAUGGGUCAGCUCUUCUGCAUCUUACACUUGCUCCUCAAUUUCUAUCUUUGGCUCCCUUCUACCCAAACCUUAACCUCCUUCUUGUAAGGAACUUGGAGCGGUGACAGGAAUUGCAGAGAAAACUGCUUUUUUUUUUUUUUUUUUUUUUUUUUUUAGCGUUUGAAAUUAAAAUGUUUAGUAAUAAAUUAUUUGUGGAUUCAUUCAUUCAGCAUAGGUCUUAAUGAGUUCCUACAUGGCUAGAAUUGUACUACAUACAGGAGAUUCGGUGGUGAUAAUCAGUCAAGAAAAUUACAAUAUAAUAAAAACAGAUCAAAAAAAGAAAGUCUUAUCUGCCUGAAAAAAACAGAUAAACCUAAGAAAAAAGAAUGAAGGUCAGCUAGUGAGAUGUGAGAGGCAUCUAAGAUAGCUGGUAGAUUUCUGUCUUGGAUAACUGAUGAUGCUGUUUGCUGAGGGAGGAAAGAGUUCUGUCAGGUGGGCUAGUCUGGUUCAUGAGUCCCAAAACCCAUCUGAUAAGUUAGACUAGGCAAGGACGUGAGUUAUCAUCACUGCGAUGUCUUAAUAAUCCUAGCACCCAUUCAGUGAACACCUACCAUGUUGUCAGGCUUAUUUUUUAAUUUGUUUUGGUUUCCUACUUUGGAUCUACUGAAUUAGAGUGGAGGUGGACAGAGGCUUGGCAGUAGCAAUCUGUAGGUUUAAAAAGCUGUUCAGGUGGUUCUGAUGGACAGCCAGAUUUGGGAACCAGGUUCAGUCUGGAGCUCAGAAAAGGGAUCUGUGCUGAGCCUGAGAUAAAACAUUAAAUACAACAUCUUGUACAGACUGUGGUUGAAGAUGUCAGGGUUGUAGAUGAAAUUGCCCAGGAUGAACUGUGGUUCUCUAUCUGGGAUCAAUUUGAAUGACUUGAGAAACUUGUUAAAAAUACAAAUGCUUUUGUCCUGACCCUCAACAAUUGUUUAAGAACUACAAGUAGAAACAGAUGAAGGCCAGGCAUAGAACUUUGGAUAAUCCCAAGGUAUGAAGAUUUGGAGGAGGAAGUGAAAGGUUGAAUAGAAAGCAGAAAAUGUGACACAGCACGCUGCCAUGCUGAUGCAGACCCCUCUCUGCACGCCAGCCCUCCCGCACCCACCAUGGCCACAGUUCAGCAGCUGGAAGGAAGAUGGCGCCUGGUGGACAGCAAAGGCUUUGAUGAAUACAUGAAGGAGCUAGGAGUGGGAAUAGCUUUGUGAAAAAUGGGCGCAGUGGCCAAGCCAGAUUGUAUCAUCACUUGUGAUGGCAAAAACCUCACCAUAAAAACUGAGAGCACUUUGAAAACAACACAGUUUUCUUGUACCCUGGGAGAGAAGUUUGAAGAAACAACAGCUGAUGGCAGAAAAACUCAAGACUGUCUGCAACUUUACAGAUGGUGCAUUGGUUCAGCAUCAGGAGUGGGAUGGGAAGGAAAGCACAAUAACAAGAAAAUUGAAAGAUGGGAAAUUAGUGGUGGAGUGUGUCAUGAACAAUGUCGCCUGUACUCGGAUCUAUGAAAAAGUAGAAUAAAAAUUCCAUCAUCACUUUGGACAGGAGUUAACUAAGAGAAUGACCAAGCUCAGUUCAAUGAGCAAAUCUCCAUACUGUUUCUUUUUUUUUUUUUCUUCAUUACUGUGUUCAAUUAUCUUUAUCACAAACAUUUUACAUGCAGCUAUUUCAAAGUGUGUUGGAUUAAUUAGGAUCAUCCCUUUGGUUAAUAAAUAAAUGUGUUUGUGCUAA